rnacentral:rRNA from 1 species
GACAGAGGGUGCAAACGUUGUUCGGAAUUACUGGGCGUAAAGCGCGUGUAGGCGGCAGGGCAAGUCGGAUGUGAAAUCCCGUGGCUCAACCACGGAAGUGCACCCGAAACUGCCCCAGCUAGAGUCUCGGAGAGGAAGGUGGAAUGCUUGGUGUAGAGGUGAAAUUCGUAGAUAUGCGGAGGAACACCGGUGGCGAAGGCGGCAUCCUGGACCGGUAUUGACGCUGAGGCGCGAAAGCUAGGGGAGCAAACGGG